rnacentral:misc_RNA from 2 species
UCAGUGAUGGGGGGCGUCCGCGCUCCCGUCCUCAACCCUUUGUUGACCAAACCACUUUUGCCUCGGGGGCAGAGCGGCCUCCGCCGCCCCCGGUGGACCAUUCAACCCUGUCUCUGUACGUCGGAGUCUUUGAUGAAUAAAUGA